CGCAUUCUUCUUCUCGGUCGCCUCCUCGCCGCCGUGCCCCGCAAGCGGCACUGCCACCACCAGGAUCGACGCUCCUCUGUCCGGUGACCGGAAGCCCUCUCUGUGGUCGUGGGAUUAAGUCGCUGUGGAGAAAUCACAAGGAGGCCAAUCCUUCCAGCUCUCAGCUUCUGCAUUGGCGCCAGGAAUAGCUUAUGUGUUAGAUCGACUCGGCAGGAUAUUUUCGGGAGCUCAGGAUCGGCAGGGUCGGUUGACGAGCGGGGGAUGACUGUGAGGCAUUGCUUCACUACCCUAGCAGCACGGGCGUGUGAAUGCAGGCAGUAGCAAGUGUAGCCUUUGCUCUGCCCAUGUCAUCUUCUUCAAGACCGAGUGCUAGGUACUGCAAGAAAAGCUUUUCUAGUUUGUGAUCUUUGCAAUGAGAAUUUCAAGCAGAAGACUUUGGUGGCACUAAUCUUCUUCGUUUUCCUUUCCAGGUGUGUAGUUGAUUGUUAUUUGCAACAGGUGUGUGAUUUGGGCACAAAGUGUCUUUAGUAGCAACCCCACUACCAAUGAAAAUUCAAGGUGGGGAGUCAAGGAUUCUUGGUUGCUUUGUUUGCAGGUGAGGGAUACUAUG
rnacentral:lncRNA from 1 species